AAAUGCAAUGCUUCACAUUGCACAUAACUUCUAAGAUCCAGAAGAAAGGAUUGAAGAUGGUCCGUCGGGCCUGGGCAUUAUGAUCAUCGAGGGGCGGCACACGGAAGCCGGCCGAGGAAUCUUCGUCUCCGACUUACAAGAAGGCAGCGCUGCCGAACAGUCAUGACAUAUUGGAGGCUUGAAAGUGCACAUACCCAUACAUUGGACGUUAAGCUCAACGAGACCAUGCGAUGCAUCUCAGGCACUAUCCGAUCUACAACCGCCACUGGCUGCCGGCAUUGAGUCACAUUGCCCCUCCUCACAUCCGACGACUCAAGGCGUUGAAGAGGGAGGCUGAGAAUAUCACGAAUAACCCCACCCUGACCCUGUGCUACAGCUGGGAGCCUGAGCAGCUUUAAUAUUUCGGAUAGGUGGAUAGCGGAAUGGUCAGCUUCGGCAGCUCGGAGUUGCUGUAUAUCUGACCCAACUAAAAAACCAAAAGGGUUUGACCUUCCUCGGAAAAUCUGGUGCCGCCUGAGAACCGGACACUCAUACCCUGGGCCUGUUGAGGACCUGAAGACCGUGACACCUGACUUGGUUGCUUAGCUUGGCAACCUCAAGGCUACACUCUGAAUGCCACUUUAUUGGAGCAUUCCACGAGCUGUCCCGUACAAACGCAUUUUAUUUCCUGUGUUGCGACUUUUUUUUUUCGCCAUUUAAAGCAAGCGAAUAAUUUUCCGUGCAUGUUUGACCAUUUGUCAUAGAAAAGGAAACUCUUAUACCUGCAAAUCUCCAGAAAAUCUGCAUUUCUACGGGACAAACGGUAGUCAAUUUCAUGGAAUGCUCCAUUGCCAAAACAUGAUAAGUUGAUGGCAGAAAAAAUAUUAGGAAUACAAACCAUAUACCUACAUAUAAAUUCUAUGUUAAGUAUGUACUAAGUUAUUCUAGGUUAAGUACUAACUUAUUGUCUACUCUAUACAUAGGUAAUUACAUUUAGCAAGACAUGUUGGCCGUGGGUACCAAGCUCAGCAUGUGCUAGACUGGUGUCCAGCGCUGGUUUUCAGUUUGGCCCCUUUUUGUUGGAGGUCUGAGAGGAAUGUUGAUCUUUUCUACACCGUUAAGCAUUCUAUUUAUAUUGGAAACGAAACUUAUAGAUGAGCAGUUAUGAAAUAGCAAUAAAUGUGCCCCGGGCGACGUCCAAGGGGGGGCGCCAAAAUGGGCUAAAGACUACCUCUCCGCCUUGCCAAAGGCAGCAGGGAAACUUUUGUCAGUCGUAUUUACCACCACUGUGAAGUGUGAAAUGCGGAUGGUAAUCUGGCCCACAGCGCAAAGGGAGAAAGACGAUCUUUUAGGAACUCUUUUUGCAUCGAACUCGAUCUUGAAAGACGACGGUAGCGCCCUACCGCCCACCAUCCCGUAGUGUGAAUACUCUAUGCCAGAAACUUCUAUCAAGCAGAGGGAUAUUCGGCGGGAGUUGCUAUGCUUUCGUUUUAUAAGGCGAGCGGGCCAAGUGCUUCAGAGUUGUGUCCAGUGUUAGCGCGUCUUUUACGUUAGGGGUCUCCUGUCGAAGUUACCAUCUUAUGGACUGUCCAAUAGACUACCUAUGCAAGUGGAUCGCUAGCCCUUUAUCCGGCUGGCGCAUAUGAGCCGUAGUUGACGGAACCUGAUGCUUCAAUAGCUGCUGCUGCAUAUCUGUGACAUGUUGUCUAUCGACGACAUUCAUCGAUAUGUGGACUACUGAGGAUUCCUAUACACUAUACAGGAUGGCUAAAAAAUAAUUACAUUCCCGUUGCCAGGGAGGUUUUGGGAUUAUACUGAGCAACUUUUGCUACGGGACCAACCUCGAAAUCGCGAAAAAAAGAGUUUACCCUCCCAUAGACUUUCGACCAGCCAAAACGUAUGAAACAGCCAAAUUUUUUUCGCGACUUAGGGGUUGGUCCCAUUUCGUUAGUUCAUUUCGUUUCGGAGAGGGGGGGGGGGGGGGGAGGCGCAAAUUUGGUGCCUGCCCCGGGCGCCAUAUCCUCUAGCUACGCCACUGCCCUCGCUCCGAGACGUUCCUGGUACAAAAGCUGUUCAUAGUAUAAUAAUCCAGCGAUAAAGCUGCUGGCAUGAUGGGCACUUUCACACCGGGUACGGCAGUGAAUGAUUUGUUUGUACACCUACAUUUAAUGUGUAAAUAAACUUUGUUUAAUUUUUUGGCAAUAGUUGUUUUAUUUACGCAUUUAUAAUAUUCUC